GACGAACGCUGGCGGCGUGCUUAACACAUGCAAGUCGAGCGGUAAGGCCUUUCGGGGUACACGAGCGGCGAACGGGUGAGUAACACGUGGGUGAUCUGCCCUGCACUCUGGGAUAAGCCUGGGAAACUGGGUCUAAUACUGGAUAUGACCUCAGCAUGCAUGUGCUGGGGUGGAAAGCUUUUGUGGUGCAGGAUGGGCCCGCGGCCUAUCAGCUUGUUGGUGGGGUAAUGGCCUACCAAGGCGACGACGGGUAGCCGACCUGAGAGGGUGACCGGCCACACUGGGACUGAGACACGGCCCAGACUCCUACGGGAGGCAGCAGUGGGGAAUAUCGCACAAUGGGCGCAAGCCUGAUGCAGCAACGCCGCGUGAGGGACGACGGCCUUCGGGUUGUAAACCUCUUUUAGCAGGGAAGAAGCGAGAGUGACGGUACCUGCAGAAAAAGCACCGGCUAACUACGUGCCAGCAGCCGCCGCAG
rnacentral:rRNA from 1 species